GAGUUUGAUCCUGGCUCAGGACGAACGCUGGCGGCGUGCCUAAUACAUGCAAGUCGAGCGGAGUUUUGAAAAGCUUGCUUUUCAAAACUUAGCGGCGGACGGGUGAGUAACACGUGGGCAACCUGCCCUUGAGACGGGGAUAACUCCGGGAAACCGGAGCUAAUACCGGAUAACACAUAUCUUCGCAUGAAGAUAUGUUAGAAGGUGGCUUUUAGCUACCACUCAAGGAUGGGCCCGCGGCGCAUUAGCUAGUUGGUGAGGUAACGGCUCACCAAGGCGACGAUGCGUAGCCGACCUGAGAGGGUGAUCGGCCACACUGGGACUGAGACACGGCCCAGACUCCUACGGGAGGCAGCAGUAGGGAAUCUUCCGCAAUGGACGAAAGUCUGACGGAGCAACGCCGCGUGAGUGAUGAAGGUUUUCGGAUCGUAAAGCUCUGUUGUUAGGGAAGAACAAGUACCUGUUGAAUAAGCAGGUACCUUGACGGUACCUAACCAGAAAGCCACGGCUAACUACGUGCCAGCAGCCGCGGUAAUACGUAGGUGGCAAGCGUUGUCCGGAAUUAUUGGGCGUAAAGCGCGCGCAGGCGGUUCCUUAAGUCUGAUGUGAAAGCCCACGGCUCAACCGUGGAGGGUCAUUGGAAACUGGGGAACUUGAGUGCAGAAGAGGAGAGCGGAAUUCCACGUGUAGCGGUGAAAUGCGUAGAGAUGUGGAGGAACCCCGAUUGCGAAGGCAGCUCACUGGGCUGUUACUGACGCUGAGGCGCGAAAGCGUGGGGAGCGAACAGGAUUAGAUACCCUGGUAGUCCACGCCGUAAACGAUGGAUACUCGCUGCGAGCUAAAGAUUGUUCGUGGCUUAGGGAAACCGAUAAGUAUCCCACCUGGGGAGUACGCCGGCAACGGUGAAACUCAAAGGAAUUGACGGGGGCCCGCACAAGUGGUGGAGCAUGUGGUUUAAUUCGAUGAUACGCGAGGAACCUUACCUAGGCUAGAAUGCGCGUGACCGGCUCAGAGAUGAGCUUUUCCUUCGGGACACAAAGCAAGGUGCUGCAUGGCCGUCGUCAGCUCGUGCCGUGAGGUGUUGGGUUAAGUCCCGCAACGAGCGCAACCCCUAUGGUUAGUUGCCAGCACGUAAUGGUGGGGACUCUAGCCAGACUGCCUGCGCAAGCAGUGAGGAAGGCGGGGACGACGUCAGGUCAUCAUGGCCCUUACGCCUAGGGCGACACACGUGCUACAAUGGACGGUACAGCGGGUAGCUACUGGGCGACCAGAUGCCAAUCUCGAAAAGCCGUUCUCAGUUCGGAUCGGAGUCUGCAACUCGACUCCGUGAAGCUGGAAUCACUAGUAAUCGCGCAUCAGCCAUGGCGCGGUGAAUACGUUCCCGGGCCUUGUACACACCGCCCGUCAAGCCAUGAAAGUCUGGUAGACCUGAAGCUGGUGCUCCGCAACGAAGCCAGUUAGGGUAGAACAGGUAAUUAGGGCUAAGUCGUAA
rnacentral:rRNA from 1 species